AGAGUUUGAUCCUGGCUCAGGACGAACGCUGGCGGCGUGCCUAACACAUGCAAGUCGAACGAGCGAGAGAGAGCUUGCUUUCUCAAGCGAGUGGCGAACGGGUGAGUAACGCGUGAGGAACCUGCCUCAAAGAGGGGGACAACAGUUGGAAACGACUGCUAAUACCGCAUAAGCCCACGACCCGGCAUCGGGAAGAGGGAAAAGGAGCAAUCCGCUUUGAGAUGGCCUCGCGUCCGAUUAGCUAGUUGGUGAGGUAACGGCCCACCAAGGCGACGAUCGGUAGCCGGACUGAGAGGUUGAACGGCCACAUUGGGACUGAGACACGGCCCAGACUCCUACGGGAGGCAGCAGUGGGGAAUAUUGCACAAUGGGGGAAACCCUGAUGCAGCGACGCCGCGUGGAGGAAGAAGGUCUUCGGAUUGUAAACUCCUGUUGUUGAGGAAGAUAAUGACGGUACUCAACAAGGAAGUGACGGCUAACUACGUGCCAGCAGCCGCGGUAAAACGUAGGUCACAAGCGUUGUCCGGAAUUACUGGGUGUAAAGGGAGCGCAGGCGGGAAGACAAGUUGGAAGUGAAAUCCAUGGGCUCAACCCAUGAACUGCUUUCAAAACUGUUUUUCUUGAGUAGUGCAGAGGUAGGCGGAAUUCCCGGUGUAGCGGUGGAAUGCGUAGAUAUCGGGAGGAACACCAGUGGCGAAGGCGGCCUACUGGGCACCAACUGACGCUGAGGCUCGAAAAGUGUGGGUAGCAAACAGGAUUAGAUACCCUGGUAGUCCACACCGUAAACGAUGAUUACUAGGUGUUGGAGGAUUGACCCCUUCAGUGCCGCAGUUAACACAAUAAGUAAUCCACCUGGGGAGUACGACCGCAAGGUUGAAACUCAAAGGAAUUGACGGGGGCCCGCACAAGCAGUGGAGUAUGUGGUUUAAUUCGAAGCAACGCGAAGAACCUUACCAAAUCUUGACAUCCCUCUGACCGGUCUUUAAUCGGACCUUCUCUUCGGAGCAGAGGUGACAGGUGGUGCAUGGUUGUCGUCAGCUCGUGUCGUGAGAUGUUGGGUUAAGUCCCGCAACGAGCGCAACCCCUAUCCUCAGUAGCCAGCAUUUAAGGUGGGCACUCUGGGGAGACUGCCAGGGAUAACCUGGAGGAAGGUGGGGAUGACGUCAAAUCAUCAUGCCCUUUAUGACUUGGGCUACACACGUACUACAAUGGCGUUAAACAAAGAGAAGCAAGACCGCGAGGUGGAGCAAAACUCAGAAACAACGUCCCAGUUCGGACUGCAGGCUGCAACUCGCCUGCACGAAGUCGGAAUUGCUAGUAAUCGUGGAUCAGCAUGCCACGGUGAAUACGUUCCCGGGCCUUGCACUCACCGCCCGUCA
rnacentral:rRNA from 1 species